CACCUCUAGCAUUACCAGUAUUAGAGGCACUGCCUGCCCAGUGACAUUAGUUAAACGGCCGCGGUAUCCUGACCGUGCAAAGGUAGCAUAAUCAUUUGUUCCUUAAUUAGGGACUUGUAUGAAUGGCCCCACGAGGGUUUAACUGUCUCUUACUUUUAAUCAGUGAAAUUGACCUUCCCGUGAAGAGGCGGGAAUACAAAAAUAAGACGAGAAGACCCUAUGGAGCUUAAAUUGAUAUGUUCAACAGAAUUAAAUUAUAAUCCAACAGGAAUAAAAAUAUUCUAACUGAACAAUAAAUUUUGGUUGGGGUGACCUCGGAGUAUAACAUAACCUCCGAGCAAUUAAACCAAGACUUACCAGUCAAGGCCAUAUAACUUAUUGAUCCAAUCUUAUUGAUCAACGAAACAAGUUACCCUAGGGAUAACAGCGCAAUCCUAUUUAAGAGUUCAUAUCGACAAUAGGGUUUACGACCUCGAUGUUGGAUCAGGACACCCAAAUGGUGCAGCAGCUAUUAAAGGUUCGUUUGUUCAACG
rnacentral:rRNA from 1 species